UACAGAAAUUCGCCAUCGUACCAGACUCUCUUUCCCACCGGAGAAUUUUGUUUCGUCAUUGCAAAGAGAUGGCUUGGAUCGCAACAAUCUUUGAGAAGCUUCCUAAUAGAAAAGAGGAAGGAGAGAAGGUAAAAUAACCAUGGCAGAUAUUAUGCCUUCUUAGCGUCAUAUGUUUGCUAAAAAUGGAUUGCAUUUAAGCACCUGGAGAUCACGAAAAUAAUACAGAAGGAGGAGAUUCACAAGCAGAAAUUUGGAUCAGGUGGACUUAGGGUAAAGGAGGAGAGAAUUGCAAAAAGAUCCAACCUUGUAAUGUUACAGGGCAGAAGUCCUAGCUAAUGCUGAUUUAUGCUCUCAACAGCAUUUCCUGAAAGAAAGACCCACUGACUUCAAUGGGAUUGACUCUUAGUUUAAGUGGACACAAGACGCCCUUCCCUGCAUCUGAAUCCUGCAAGGUAGUUUUUAGAUUCAUGUAAGCUUGUCAAGGAAUGAUUAAUUGCA